rnacentral:rRNA from 1 species
UACAGAGGGUGCGAGCGUUAAUCGGAAUUACUGGCGUAAAGCGUGCGUAGACGGUUAUUUAAGUCGGAUGUGAAAGCCCCGGGCUCAACCUGGGAAUUGCAUUCGAGACUGAAUAGCUAGGGUACGGUAGAGGGAAGCGGAAUUUCCGGUGUAGCGGUGAAAUGCGUAGAUAUCGGAAGGAACAUCAGUGGCGAAAAGCGGCU